rnacentral:rRNA from 1 species
UACGUAGGGGGCUAGCGUUGUCCGGAAUCAUUGGGCGUAAAGCGCGUGUAGGCGGUCCGGUAAGUCCGCUGUGAAAGUCGGGGGCUCAACCCUCGGAUGCCGGUGGAUACUGUCGGGCUUGAGUACGGAAGAGGCGAGUGGAAUUCCCGGUGUAGCGGUGAAAUGCGUAGAGAUCGGGAGGAACACCAGAGGCGAAGGCGGCGACCUGGACAGAUACUGACACUCAACUACGAAAGCGUGGGUAGCAAACAGG